UUAAAUUGAAGAGUUUGAUCAUGGCUCAGAUUGAACGCUGGCGGCAGGCCUAACACAUGCAAGUCGAACGGUAACAGGAAGCAGCUUGCUGCUUUGCUGACGAGUGGCGGACGGGUGAGUAAUGUCUGGGAAACUGCCUGAUGGAGGGGGAUAACUACUGGAAACGGUAGCUAAUACCGCAUAACRUCGCAAGACCAAAAAGGGGGACCUUAGGGC
rnacentral:rRNA from 1 species